UACAGCUAGGAGACCUCAUUCCAACAUUUAAGGCCUCUUGAACACGAAUGUUGUGCAUCCGUUCUGUGUAUUGGGGACCGCAAUUUGCGGUCCCCAAUGCACGUGCAACAUCCGUGCGGUGGCCGGGACGGAUCGAGAGCUAUUCAACUUGAAUGGGUCCGUGAUCCG